rnacentral:rRNA from 1 species
UACGUAGGUGGCAAGCGUUGUCCGGAUUUACUGGGCGUAAAGAGCGCGCAGGCGGUCGUUCAAGUCGCGUGUGAAAGCCCCCGGCUCAACUGGGGAGGGUCACGCGAUACUGAUCGACUCGAAGGCAGGAGAGGGAAGUGGAAUUCCCGGUGGAGCGGUGAAAUGCGUAGAUAUCGGAAGGAACACCGGUGGCGAAAGCGGCGCGCUGGACCUCUUCUGACGCUGAGGCGCGAAAGCCAGGGGAGCAAACGGG